AGUUGUUGCUGGUCAGCCACAUCGCACUGGAUGAACAGAGUCUUCUGAGGUUCAAACUGCUCAUCCAGGGCAGCUUUACACUGUACACCUGCUUCAAGAUUCCAAUCCACCAGCGCUACCUAUAGACAAGAGGAGAGGAAUCGCGGGCCUGCGCAGCUCACGAAAUAGACGGACAAACAAUAAACACACAAGAGGCUCCCCUCCUGGACCUGAAAUUUGGCAAUUAGGUUUGGGUUCCCUCCCAGCCACUUCUGAGGUGUGCUCACAGCCUCAGCUUCAGCAAAUUUUGGAAGUGGCAAAGUGGGCACGCCGGGCGCGGCCUCCCUGUCUCCGCCAGUGCACCUCGGGCGGCGGGGCGAGUCUCGGAGUGUGUGGGCAGAGAAAUUUCCGCGGCUGGGCGCCGGGCUUACCUUGGCGCCCUUAAGCAGCAGCGCCUCUGCAAAGGCUCUGCCUAUGCCCUGAGCCGCGCCGGUCACCAGCGCCACUUUGCCGUUCACGUGCAUGGUGCAGCCACUGCUGGGGCGGGCGGUGGGCGAGCUCCGCGUCUCCGCGCGGCCGCGGCUUUUAUGCCCCCCUGCGCGCGCGCGCGUGCAGCCCGGCGGGGCGCUCCCCUGCCAGUGGGCGGGGAGGAAACUGUCAAGCCAGCGCCCGCCGGGGAACCCACGACUGUGUCACCUGCCCCCUGAGCGUUCUGGAGCGCCAAGCUUCGCGAUCUUUGCCUUCCGGACUCGCAGACCGGCUCAAAGCCUCCCCUCAGCCUCUGGCUCCGUGAUUGGCAGGCAGCUGACAGAAGAAAAGUUAAAAGGUUAUUUCUGAAGAAGAGUUUCCUUCAGUGCCCUAAAGACCAACUGGAUAGAAGGAGAGCGGAGCAGAGGCUUGGAAGCUUGGAUCCCUCCUCCUGCACUCCCUCCCGGCCCCGACUCCGGAACAAAACAAGCAAACAAUAAAGCAAACUUGUUGCUCUUUUGUCUCAAAGUUUUGUGUGAGUUCCCAUCUCGUAAUCAGUGGGGUUGAGGGUGACGGGGAGCAGAAGUAACUAAUAUCAUUGUGUUUUCUUAGUUACAUUUUGGACAAAUUUUUACGGAUACUGGAGAUGAGAAGUGGACUCUGCUCUGUCCUGAAAACCUGGAAUCAUAACAUUUCAUGGCUAGGACUAGAGUGUCCUUGGCGCUGUGUUUCUGGUCAGUGUCAAUUGUGUGUCAUAUUGAGAUGCCCCCACAAAAACUGUCAUCAUCAACAGGCGCUCCAGAGCCGCUGGUAGCCUACCAAAUUGUUGGCUCAAUGGAAUGCUUACUUGUUGAAAUACACCAACUUUGGAAGCUCUGAGUCAAGUUUGGGACAGAGGUUCCUUGCUCUCCAGGAACUCCAGGGCUAGCUGUAUGCGGACUUGCAUAAAUAACAAGGGCUAUUCCACUGACUUUGUCUCUUUUUCUCAGGUUGUCAGCGGCAGGCUGCAAUUUUAAUUCUGUAAACCGUGUAUUGCGCGUGUACUUUGGGUGGCCCUGUGCUGCGUCAGCUGGAAGGGAUCCAGAGAAAAAGACAGAGCCCUCUUUGAAGACAUCCAGAGAGAGAUCUAGGAUGUUGGGAAGGAACAAAGAAAUUCAGGCAUCUCUCCUGAGAAGAGAAAGGGAGUAGAAUGCUCCAUCAUGAUGCUAACCACAAGAAUUGACUUGACGGGACAGAAUCAAGGGGAAGAACGUCAGUGAAACUUCUGGUGACAAUCACCCACUUAGGUCUUUAUUUUCCAUUUUUGCAUUUGUCAUACUUUUCAUAGUAAUGAAAACAAAUAUGUUGUGUAUAAUACUGGAUGUCAGCCUAUACAUUUGGUUUUUAAAUUUGGGGAAGGAAACUUCUUUCCACUCGAUUGAGCAGUUUCAUCUUUGCAAUGUAUUUAUUCUUUCUGAACUUUUGGGUAGUGUCCUCGUAUUAGUCUGUUUUCAUGCUGUUGAUAAAGACAUACCCAAGACUGGGUAAUUUAUACAGAAAAAGAGGUUUAAUGGGCUCACAGUUCCACAUGGCUGGGGAAGCCUCACAAUCAUGGCAGAAGGCAAAAGGUCUGUCUUGUGUGGCGGAAGGCAAAAGGCCCGUCUUAUGUGGUGGCAGAAAAGAGAGAAUGAGAGCCAAGUGAAAAGGGAAAUCCCUUAUAAAAUCAUCAGAUUUUGUGAGACUUAUUCACUACCACGAGAACAGUAUGGGGGAAACUGUCCCUGUAAUUCAAUUAUCUCCCACCAGGUCCCUCUCACAACACGUGGGAAUUAUGGGAACUUCAAUUCAAGAUUAUAUUUGAGUGGGGACACAGCCAAAUCAUAUCAGUCCUAGAAAAUUCUUCAGGACUGGCUCUUUUUACUUUUUGGCAAUUUAGCCCUCCUGGUCAUGAACGAGUUGUCAGAUUAGCUUCUCCUAAUUUCACACUAUGAUGGGGAGAAGGAAAUGCAGGUUUUCUGCUCUUAAAAGAUUCCACAUACUGUUUGGACCCUCCCGUGCAUAGUGGAGAGAAUAACUUUAUUCAUUCUGUGAUUAUCCAGUAGGAAGUCUUAUCAGACAGGAGGCCCUCUGGAGGGUCCUAGCAACACUGACCUAAACCUCAGAGCACUCGAGUGAACACCCAAAGUCCUCUGUGGAGAAAUGAUGUAGAGUCUUGAAUGGGAAUAUGUUGCUAAUGGGUCAUUAGUAAUUUGAGUGUCUUUUCAGCUGGCGUCAAAACAGGCCCUAUUCCUCAGUACCCGGUAUCAAGAGAAGACAACUUUCAGAAGCCCAUUGCCUAGACUUGGAGGAGGCUCUUAAUAUGUUUUUUUUCCACAUUUCAUAAAUUCUUAGGAUUUUUUAAAUUUAAUAUCCUUUAUGAACUAAGGUCAACAAAACUUUAAUCAGUGAAUAUAUUUUUGGUUCUGAGAGUUAGAACACUCCUCCCUUUUAAAACAAAAAAGUUUUUAGAAUUUUGUUGUUAAAUAUAUCUGGACAUAUGAAGAAAACUGAAGUUAUCAGCCUUUUCAAUUGAAUCCUGACACUGAAAUUGUCUUUUGAAACUUACUUUUGUGUAACUAUCCUGGCUCACUGGCACUCUGCUCUGGAAUUAAAUUUCCCUAAUUUCUGUCAACUUUUUGAAUCUGCAACAGUGGGAGCAUAUGAUAUGCUGUAUGAGUAACUGCACAAGUUAUUGUUAGAAAAAUUCCUACUGAUAAGCCCUAUGAGUUUUAUCUGUAACUGUGCAAGUAACCUAAGUAUCUUGUGGAAUUAGAGGCAAUAGUCUGUUUUACAAAGAGUAGGAGAGAGAGAGAAAGAGGUAGAGACAAAGACCAAGACCAGGAGAGGAAGAAGGAGAGAGACAGAAAGGGAGGCAGAGGGAAGAAAGGAAAGAAGAAAGAAAGAAAACAUUAGCAUAAUUUUCCAAGAAUAGGCAUCUCAGUGUCUUGCCUAGAAAUCAAGGUCUUCCUCUGCUCAGAAGCACAGAAACUGUCCAGGAGGGGAAGCUCUAAGUAACGAUAACAAUAGAAACUGAUUGGCUUGACAAUGAGAUAAGACCAGGUAUGUUCCCGGUGACCCACAGUGAAGGAAAAUUCAGUUUUUGCACAGUUUCACUGUGUGGAGAGAAUAUAGCACCAUUACAAAACUUCUUUUAAAGAAAAGACACUUUGGGAAUUGGCCUCAUCUGUUUUUUUGUAGGCAGUUCAGAUAGGAAUAAAGGAAAGAAGAAAACAUCUCCUUCCUUAUUCCCCAUCUGUUUAUCUCACUAUUUCUCAUCCUCCUUACAGACACUCAGCUGGAGGUUCACAGAUCCAGUUUCUUGUAGAUUGCUCCUCAAUGUUGUGGGUAAUUUUAGGCAAAAUAUGCAAAUUUCUUGUUUGGCAUAAGGUUUUUCUUUCUCCUGCUAAAACAAAAAUGUUUCCGCUACAAACCAUUUAAAUACUUCGUAGGGAUUUUGUCAGGAUUAAUGAGGCAACAGACAGUCACAGGUGAUUAUACUUAUUUCAAGAAUGCAUUAUUUUAGUAUGUCUAUUUGGCAUUACAUUGAUUUUUUUUCAGGUCAUUAGCUUAUUAAUUUCUACUAGACAGCAGAGCUGCUGUGUCUUGUUAUUUUUGGAGUUAAAAUGGUGUAAUAUUCUCAGAGAGCUAGACAUCAACUUAGUGAACUGGAACUGGAGAAUAAUUUAUUCUUUGCUACCAUAGAUGUUAAUUAUUUACCACAAGACAGAGCUGGGCAAGAAGAAAUCUCAGAACUUUAGUUUGGAUACAGACUUUGCUUUUUAUGGUCUGUUUCAAUCCCUUUAUUUUACAGAUAAGUAGAUUAAAACAAUUAUGAUUAAGUAUCUUCUCUUAUGUCACACAGUUGUUAUUGAUUGGUUUAUACUUAGGAGCUAGAGCAAGUGUUCCCAGGGAGUACAUUUUGUACUGAAUAUAGCUGUCUUUGUGAAGAGAAAAAUAACAAGAUUUGUAGGUACUGAAAGUUACCCAGAAAUCUCACAUUAGUCUAGGAAGAGGUAUGUAUUAUGAUGCUCAGGGUUACUGUGGCUUGAUAUAAUUAAACAGAUGUAUAUUCGUCUCCUAGAGUCUUCAAAAUAAUGAUAGUGGUGACGAUGACGAUGAUGAUAGUUAGCAGUUUUUAAAGGCUUACUCUGCAACAGGAAUUAUACCUAGAGGUUUAUACACAUUAUCUCAUUUAUUUCCUAAAAUGAUGCCAUGAGGUUGGAUCUAUUAUUUCUUCCAGUCUACAGAAGAAGAACCUGAAGCUUAGAGAUAUUUGGUAAAUUGUUGCAACUUCACUCUGUAAGUAAAUGUCAGAUCUGACCAAUAUGAUGCCACCCUAUGCCUUGUCACAGUAUUAUUCUGCUAUACGUUUGAGAAUCUGCCAAAUUUUCUUAGGCUCAUUAUCCACUACCACCAUAUUCUGACUUGUGGUGGAAUUAAUAAUAUUUCUAGAAGAAAUAUUUGCAAUAUUUAAGCAAAUUUUAGAAUUUUUAUACUAGAAAUAAGAUCUUGGACAUAAUGUAACUGUAUGUCUAGGUGGUGCUAAGUAACGAGACUUUCUGCACUGAGUUUUAGAAUGAAGAAUGGGAAGGAAAGCUCUUCCUAAAUAAAGCAGGAAACAUGGAUACCAGCUUACCAUUUGUAACCAGAGGUGUUUCUUAAUCUUUUUCAGAUCAGUUGUACAAAAGUUAAGACAGCAAUAAUGGUUUUUAUAGAAUGUUCUCAUGACGGUUAAAUAUUAAGAUGUAUGUGAAGUACAUAGCCCAGUACUAGAAAGAUCUGGCGUCUCUUCUGAUUAUUUAUUGCCUGUGCUGUACCAGUUAAUGUUUGGAAUAUCAGUACUGUAUUCAACAGAUAUCUAUUUGAUAUCUAGUAUGUGAUUGGGCCAGUAAUAGGCCCUAAGGGGACAGUACUAUUUUUAUCUUCAUGGUGCUCACUUUCUAGUUGAAGGAGGUAGAAAAAAUAAUUAUUGCGGGUAGUGAUAAGUGAAACAAAAAUAAUAAGACAGGAUUGGGGUAGAGUGACAUGAAUUGGGGAGAAGGAAGGAUUCCAUGAGAUCAGUUGUGAAAGGAGGCUUCUAAGAAAGCAACACUGGAGUUGAGAAGGGAAUAAGAAAGAGCCAACUACCUGGAGAUUGGUAGAAGGAUGAAAAGACAUGCACAAGAUUUGAAGAAGAGUUUAUGAAGAUGAAGGCUUCCAAUGAACUGAGAUUUCUACAUCAUGGGGAGGGUAAUAAAAAUGCUCUUUAAAAUAUGUUAAACAAGGUAUCUGUAUCUAUGUCUGCAUGAAAGUAGAGAGGAGACAGAAUAGCUGAUGCAACAGAUGACAGUGAAUAAUCGAGUAUCUACAGCUUCUACAAUGAUCAUCAACCAGGUUCUUUCUGCCCAACUGCAGCAAGUCAAUCACUGAGAUAAUGGAUUUUGCAAAAGAGAAGACUAUUCAUGAGGCAGCCAGUGAGGAGGUGAAGAACAGGUCUCAACUCCACCUCCCAGAAGAUAAGGCUUAGGGAUAUUUAUAGGUUAUAGAAGUGGGGUCAGCUAAGAUGUGGGAAAAGGUGAUUGUCAGUGGGGGAAAAAUGAAGCAAUCAGUGAUCUAUGCAAACAUAGUUGGGAUAUGUGGCAUUUCAUAGGACACAUUUGCAGAAAAUGAUGGUAUUAUGAUCUGAGGGUGGAAUUUUUGGUCCUCUGAUGUCAAAAUGCUCUCCGGCAUUUACAGAGGCCCAGCUGAAGAGUCAACCAGUUUGAACUGGUCAGGAGCUGUCCCACAUUCCUGAAAAAUAACUGAAGUGACCAUUACCAUGGUGAUUUAUAAAUGUUCAAUUUAUUAUGCCGCUAAUGAAGGUUAAGUUUCAGCGUUCAGUGGUGCAGCCUUCAAUUACUGUGGCUUUCAGCUUCAUGA
rnacentral:lncRNA from 1 species